GCCACAGUGACCGAGAGGUCAAGUGUGCGAUCAGCUUCUACACAGUUGUUGCAAAUUUACUCGGGUUCGAUUCCCGCCUGUGGCA